rnacentral:rRNA from 1 species
UACGUAGGGUGCAAGCGUUGUCCGGAAUUAUUGGGCGUAAAGAGCUCGUAGGCGGUCUGUCGCGUCGGCUGUGAAAUCCCGGAGCUCAACUCCGGGUCUGCAGUCGAUACGGGCAAACUGGAGUACUGCAGGGGAGACUGGAAUUCCUGGUGUAGCGGUGAAAUGCGCAGAUAUCAGGAGGAACACCGGUGGCGAAGGCGGGUCUCUGGGCAGUAACCGACGCUGAGGAGCGAAAGCGUGGGGAGCGAACAGG